CCUCAGUGUGCUCUGGGCCGUCGGCGGAGGAGCGUGUUGGGCCGUGUUGGUCUGACUUCCUGGCGCCGCACUGCACGGAGAGUGAGAGUGGCGGGAGGAGAGAGCCGGACAGGUGUGGCUACUUACCUUUCACGCACGCCACCACUUACCUGUGGGGGAAACAAGGAAAUAAAUAUUUUUUACAAUAUUUUUUACGUUUUUUUUCGCUUCACUCGUGGAAAAAAAAGAAAAGUUUGGGAGCAAGCGAGAAACUGGUAGGCUAAUUUACUUAGAAAUUCAGAUCACACAGAACCUAUGGUCCAGACUAAGUGGUCUGCCCUUAAACCUAAGUGAUUCUUCAUUAAUCAGAUAGAGAAAGAAAAGGGCGAGAUAGCACGUUCAGGUGGGUUGACUGUGCGAAAGAGAGACAAUUAGAUAUUCUUCAUUGAGAUAUUAAGAAAGAUAUUAAGUAAAAGGAAUCACAGCGUAGAACAGCCAAAAACACAGCACAGCACAGGACAGGGCAACACAGUACACCACAAAACGGAAAUCAAGGCAUCAUCAUCAUCCUCACCACCGCCACCAACAACAGCUUGCAAAUAAACACUGCCAUCACCACCACAAGCGACGACCAGGACGGAGAAAAGAAAAAGAAAAGAAACGAACUCAAAAUAUAUAAAGAUGUAUAGCUGAUGUUAUACGAAAACAUUGACAAAUACUGAUAAAAAAAGAGAAAAUAAAGGAACCUUAUAAAUAUCAACGAUAAGAUUAGCAACAGGAAAAGCACCACCACCACCACCGCCGCAACGCAGAUUCACGCCCUCAACACAUUCAACAGAGUCGCCAUGUGGUCAGACAACGCCCACAGCGAGGGAUUCCACCACGCCCAACCCUUCCCUCACGCCCCCGCCCUCGACAAGCUUUGUUUGCACUCAAGGCUGGGGUGCGUGCUAGCGGGCGGCAUCAGGCGGGCCAGUUUCAAAGGAGAGACGGGACCUUCCUUCCUCGCCCAGUUCCAGGACCCGCCCCCCGCCCUUUCAGCCACGGAGAUUUCUACCGAGGCCGCCGUCUUCGUGGCCGUCAUCGUGGUGUUCUAUGCCGCUAUCAUCGUCAUCCUUCUGGCCACCAACAUGCGGAGACCUCGAUCAGCACUGGCUCGUUCCCGCUCUCGAUCUCGUUCCCGCUCUCGCUCCCGCUCCAGGCACCGACAUGAGGCAGUGCUGGACCCAGAGAACGGCAACGUGUCCACCAAGCAGACGAGGAAGAAGAAGAGGGACUUGGAGUACAGCGGCGAGCGGGUGGAGAACGUGUAGUGCUGUGGUGGUGUAGUGCGGGCAGUGUAGUGUGAAGGAUGGUGGUGUUGGUGUGGUGUGGUGUGGCCCAGAUAGGUUUUAAGAAGUAAUUUUGUCAUUAUUAUUCUAAGUGAUGGAUAAUUAUAAGUGUUUGGGUGUAAGUAUGCUGGUAGUUAUGCCUUUUGUCACUUAUUUUUGUUAUCUUUAUUUAUUGUUUUUAUUUGUUUUCCUUGUGGAUUGUGUUAGUGUCCGUGUUCCAGUGUUUUCUUUCAAGCCUUCUACUAUUAUAUUUUAGUCUUUGCAGCCAUUUUUUCCUUCUAUUAUGCACGUUUUAUUUUAUUUUUUAUUUUAUCCACUGUCUUUUUGUAUAUAUUUGUCUACCGUUUUUUUCUCGAGCAGGAUUUACAUUUUUCAUUUCUUCCAUUCAGGUUGUAUAUGCCAGAUCUUUAAUAUUUUUUUUUUCGUUUUUAUUCCAAAUUUCCUUUUUGUAUUGAAGUUUUCUUGUUUCAUGGCUAUAUUUUUUUCCUUCGUCUUAUUUUUCAACUUUUCUUUCCUACUUGUUUCUUGCUUAUCGGUGCAUUUUCACAGUUUUUCUACUUCGUUUACCGUUUUCCGUUCGUGUUGAUUACUACUAUAGUUUUCAUCUGAGGUGUUUCUUAUACAUAUCACCCCUCCCCCCCUGAAUAGAUCCUUCCAGCAGCCAUACAGCCCCUUUCUUCUCUAUUUCCAGUGUUAUUUCCAUUAAUUUGCUUUCAAUUUGUAUUACCCGAAUUUUUUCCUUACUCCCGCUUCGUUUUCCUCUUUUGUUCUCAAAAUUCGUUUUCUUCCUUCUAUUCAAUAUAUAUUUCCUUUCUUUUCCCCAACCCAUUAUUCCUUUUAGUUCCUUUUUCUUCCCUUUCAAUCCUUCCCAUCCCCUAUACCUUUUACCCUUGCUGUGUCUUUUCUUUUGAUUUUUGCAUUACCUGUCUUCCAAUCAUAAAUUUUCCCUCUUGUCCCUUUCUAUUUUUUCGUUGUCCCCCAACCCCGCCCCCACCCCAUCACACGUCAGUGGCUAUCUGUUUACUCCUUUAAACUUAUAUACGUUCGUGUGUAAGAAAAAUAUAAGCAAAACUUUGUAGAUAAACUGUGAAAAGUUUUAAAAUAAUGUUUACAUUUCGUGUAACAAUAUAGUCCCUUUUAAAAUUA